UAUAUACAUGGCAGAGUAGCUAUUAAGCACGCAACAUGAUACUCUAAUGCAAUCAUAGAAACUUUGGGAAGCUCCGUGAAUCGGGCGACCAUCUGAGUCAAUUCAACCUCAACCGAUUCUCAACAAAAUUCUGCUUCUCAGAUCCUUGCAUGUCCAUGAUUUGCUAAGUUUUUCCCAUCUUUCAUCUCUUUUUAAGUUUCCAUCUGUUUCUUCUUACCUUAUCUUUGUUUUUGUAGAAUUUGAUUGAAUAAUUUUGAGUCAAAGCCUCCUUUCCUAUGAGCAGCUAACCUCAAAAGCGUACCGGACCUGCACAGGGCUUAGGACUGCCAAAUCAUGGUGAUUAUCGGGUGUUUCUAUUGUCUUUGCUAAAUAUGGGUAUGUUGAUUCUUCUAUGGCUGCCAUUAAUGAUAUAUUUUUCUUUGCUUGAUUCAGAUUCUCUUUUAUCUGAUUAGUCUAUCAAUCUUCAUCUUGUUAGCGAAGUUUUCUAAUUUUCUUGUGGUCUUUUUAUCCUCUGUAAUGUUCUCAUUUGUCUUCCACUAAACUUUCAUUAUCCCGCCCCUUUUUCCUUUAGGUGUUUUGAAUCAAUCGACAGUUUGUCAUCUUGUAUCACUUUGUCUUCUAUUUGACUUAGUGACGAGUCUGUGGUAACCCGUAAUUAAAUCAAGAAUCCCAUUCCAAUUUUCAAUCUAUCCCAGUCAGAAAUUUACUUCCUCUUGUUGCUAUGUGUAGACAAGCUGUUUGUUAGUUUUGCUCUUUGAAGGGGUUUACUUAUUUUCCUUGGCGUUAAGUGUAGUUUCUCUUACUACCGGUUGGCAAGCUGUUUGUUAAUUUAACUCCCUGAAGGGGUUGGUAUUAUCCUUGUUUUUGAGUGUAGUUUGUCUGGCAACAUACUUACAAGAGAUUAUUAUUUUUCUAGGGUUGGUUUUUGCUAAUGAUAUUUGUCGAUUCGAUUUUGUUCGUUUUCUUAUCGUUAUAUCGUGUUUUCUAAUUUUAGUCGAAUUGACUCUGGGAACUAAUAUUUUUUCGCCUCCGCAAAACUGGUGAUUAGUCAUUUCUUUUUUGUGUUUUUCUUCGCACCUCUGUUAAGUACAUCUGAUCAAUUUUUCUAUCUGAACCAAGCAAUAAAGUUUGUCUUUCUUCCUUUUGUUCAAAAUGGCAGCCAUCUCUUAUGCCCAUAUGAUUUAUUUCUUUAUCGUACCCGGUUAACUCCUUGGUUUUAGUAGCUCCUAUUGUCCAGUUGUGCAGGUCUGGUUAGUCUAUCAUCUUAUCCCUCUUUACAGUUGUGCAUCUUGAAUCGUUUGUUACUUGUGUAAUAAUUCCUGUUCUUUUAAUUCUUCUUGAGCUGCGCUUUAGUAAUAGUAAUUUUAUUUUAUCUAGUUCUGCUAGUUGUGCUUUCUGCUAGCUUAACUCAAUCCUAUCUCCUUUCAGUUUUUUUAUUCCAGUCUUUUACAUACAGUAGCCCCGCCUAAGGCGUUGAAUUGUAGUUUUUGUUUUGCUUUCAUCUUAUCAUUGUCUCGCUCAAUUUAAUCGGUUGAGGUUGAGGUCGAACUGCUUUCUCAUCUGGAUUGUUUCUUUCUGUCUAGGUGGUCUCUGAGCUGUUUUUUUUCUUCUGGUACUAGGCUUGUGCUAAUUUCUUUUUUCCCUCCCCUCUGUGUCUAGUUUGUGUCUCUCUCCCUGUUUUUUUGAGUCCUAUGGUGUUGUACACUUUUAAUUUUUCUCCUUUUUGGUAAUCUCUUCUGCUAAACAUUUUUCUGGGUCCCUUCUUUUCCUUUAGUUAUCUCUCCUUUUUCCCUCUUAAAUUUUUGUGUCUUCACUACUGGUAGUUUUUUUCGCUUCUCCAAUGAAACUUCUUUCUUGGAACGUCCAAGGAAUAGCGACUCCUAUAGUAGGGACCAUCUUAAUCACCUAUACCAUUUGUUCAAACCAGAUAUUAUUUUUUUAUUCUGAGAUAAAGGCCCCAUUCGAUAGAAUGAACCUUUUGUUGAAAAAAAUCUGAUUUUCAUGAUUGGUUCAUAGUCCCGUCGGCGGGGAUAGCUAAGGGGUCGGCGAUAGCUUGGCAUAAUAAUGUAGAGCUAAACCUAAUCGGCUCAUUUAAAUGUUUGUCAUUUUGAAUCAACAAUUGGAGACAAAGAAAUAGAAAUUACAUGUGUCUAUGGCGAAAUAGAAAUUACAUGUGUCUAUGGCACCGUGGAAGCAGAUGAUAAAGUAGCCCAAUGGUCUCAUAUUCAGGAUUUAACGGGACAAGUUCAAAAACCUUGUGUCCUAAUUGGAGAUUUGAAUAUAAUUUUGGACCCGGGUGAAAAGCAGGGUGGAAAUAAUACGAGUUCAAGCAGUAAAUCUUUCGUUAGGCAGAUUAUAGACGCUUUGGGGCUGCAAGAUGCGGGUUGCGAAGGCGCUCAUUUCACUUGGUCAAAUAACCAAAGUGGAGAUGUUAAUAUAUGCGAAGGAUCGAUAGAGCUUUAAUAUCUUAUCAUUGGAUUUAGUUAUUCUCGGACACAAAGGUAACUCACCUAACCAGGAUUGGCUCUGACCACACCCCUAUCCUUUUCGAUUCCAAUCCGGAAACAAAAAGCCUUCUUGAACUGUUUAGAUGCAUUAGGUCUUGGCUCUCCCAUCCCUCUUUAUCUACUGUGGUAGAAGUAUCUUGGAAUCUUCACUCAUCCAAUUCUUCAACCAAAAAUUUCAUUUCAAGUCUAAAAGCUCUUUCGUUGGAUUUAGCCCAGUGGAACUCAGAUAUUUUCGGUAAUAUCCAUAAAAAUAUAAAAAACCUCAAUAUAAAAAUAGAUAACAUUCAUAGAUCUGGAAACAUCUCCUCCGAGAUAGAUAUUCUCAAAAAUCUCCAAGUUGAUCUAGGAAAAUGGUACGAAAUUAAAAUACGGUCAAAAUAUGGAAUAUUUUCAUACCUCGGCUUCAAACAGGAAGAAAAUCAAUGCAAUUCAUUCGCUCGAGAACCAUCAGGGCUCUGGAUUUCUGAUCGAGACCAAAUCAAUUCUCUCUUAAUCAAUCACUUCUCCCAAAUCGGAACUUCCCAAAUGAAGAACUACAAUAUGGACCUAGCUGACAUUAUACAUCCUUGUGUUACCGACUCGAAAGACAUAGAUUUAACCCGAAUUCCUUCUAAAGAGGUGAUCUGGUUAAUUCUCUCCAACAUGAAUCCUUGGGGUGCUCUAGGCCCAGACGGUUUCCAACUGGGUUUCUUCAAAGCUAAUUGGAACAUCUUGGGUCCAGAUAUAAUAAGUUCUACGCAAGAUUUCUUUAGGUUUGGGAUUAUAGAAAAGGACUUUAACCACUCCUAUAUUACUCUUAUACCAAAAAUCACAACUCCUCAAACCCCAGCGAAUUCCUAUUAGCCUCAGCAAUACCAUCUAUAAACUCAUUUCGAAAAUCUUGGCGAAUCGUCUAAAACCCAUCUUAAAUAGGUUAAUUUCCCUAAAUCAAUCAGCAUUUCUUCCAGGAAGACGAAUUACAGACAAUAUUAUCAUAGCCCAUGAAUUGAUCCAUUCAAUGAAAACUUCCAAAAAAAAAAGGGGGUUUCUAGCUCUCAAAAUUGAUCUUUCCAAAGCCUUUGAUAGAGUUGAGUGGCCUUUUAUUGCAAAAGCCUUAUCUUCUUUUGGUUUUAGCGAUUGCUGCGUCAACCUCAUUUCUCAAUGCAUUUCCCUGACCUCUUAUUCUAUUCUUCUAAAAUGGAUCCCCAGGUCCAACUUUCUCCACCUGUAGGGGUUUAAGGCAAGGAGACCCUCUAUCACCAUAUUUAUUUCUAAUUUGCAUGGAGAUUCUCUCAAGAUUCCUCGAAAAAGCCACCGAAGAAAAUAAGAUUUCGGGCAUUAAAAUAAACAAACAUGCCCCUAUUAUAUCCCACCUAUUCUUUGCUGAUGAUUGCUUUCAUUUCACCAAAGCGGACUUAGGGGAAGCAAAAAAUUUACUGGACAUAUUAUUUAAUUUUGGGGAAAUCACGGGGCAAAUGAUUAAUUUACAAAAAUCUGGCAUUUACUUCAGCCCUAAAAUACACCCAAAACAUGCAAGAUAAUUGCGAAAAUCCUAAAAGUAACCUUGUUGACAAAAAAAGGACAGGUAUCUUGGUAUUCCUCUUUUUUUCGAUAAAAACAGAAAAGAAAAUUUCGAACCGCUCCUUCAAAGGUAUUACAACAAUCUAUAAGGUUGGAAAUCAAAGUUAUUAUUGCAAGCGGGCAUGACAGUUCUAAUUAAUCUAUUCUCCAAGCUUACCCAACUUACCAGAUGCAGAUGCUAGCACUUCCAAAAGAAACUCUAGAUAAGCUUGACAAAAUCCAAAGAGACUUUUGGUGGAAUAAAGACAAGCCAAACGGAAAAGGUAGUUAUAUAAAAGCGUGGAAAGGCAUGUCUAAACCAAAAUAUCAAGGGGGUUGGGAAUUAAGAAUCCUCACAAUUUCAAUAUACCCCUCCUGACGAAGCUAGCGAGCAGAGUAAUGACAUAAAAAGAUCAAUUAUGGGUAAAACUUCUAGAGACGAAGUACUACCAUGAUUCAAACCCAUUUGAAUUGACCAGAAAUUACAAACUUUCUUGGAUCUAGACAAGCAUUCAAAAGGGGCUCAAUAUUAUAAAAGGAAACUUUAUUUGGUAAGUGAAAGAUGGAGCUAAUACGAAAAUAUGGGAAGACAGUUGGAUCCCUAAUACGGAUAUAGUGAAUAAACCAAGUGAUAGAGCUGAUCUCUUCCCCAAAAGGUCCAAGAGCUGUUAAAAAUAGACAGUUCCUGGGACAUUGAAAAAAUUGACGAUUACUUUCAGCCAGAUAUUAAGGAAUUUUUCUUAGCAUUACCCCGAACAAAGAUAAGAGGGAUCGGAUUAGAUGGAAACAUCAUAUUUCUGGGGCUUUAUCGGCAAAAAAUAUUUACAACUAUCUCAUCAAGCAACAUAAUAAUAAUGACGAGGAUAUAAUUUUUCCGUGGAACUACCUUUGGAAAUUGUAGAUAAUCCCUCGGAUAAGACUAUUUAUGUGGAAACUGGUUCAAAAAACGCUUCCGACCAAUUGCAGACUAGCCGCUCAAACACAGAAAUGUCCCCUGAGUGUCCUUUAUGUGAUACUCAAGCGUCGGAAACAGAAGACCACCUUUUUAGAAAAUGCCAUUUCGCUAGAUCGAUCUGGUUUGGCUGCGCCUCGAUUACAGUUAGUUCGCAAAUUAACACGGACUCAAUUGUUAAGUUGGUGGAAACUUGGAUAUCUGAUCCUAACUUCUCAAAUUUUUGUGAACAAAUCGCAACAAUCAUCUGGUUCCUAUGGAAGUAUAGAUGUGAAGUGGUUUUUAGGAAAACCUACCCAGACUCAUACUCUUUGAUUCAACAGAUUAAGAACUUCUUACAGACGCAGCCGUUCAAAAAGGAUAAAAUUAAAAAAGAUAUUCAGAAAAAGAAAACAAUUAAAUCUGCUUGGAAUAAUUUCAAAGUGGAUUGGAUAAUUUUUACAGAUGCGUCGUUUAACAAGGAGAACUUGUCCAUGGGUUACGCCUUCAUUCUUUAUUUAGUAGAACAAGAAACUUUUAUGCAUCUUUCUGCAGGUUCAGAUUGGGCGUCCUCGGCUUUACAUGCAGAAGCAAAAUCUCUCUUAAAUGCCUUAAAAUGGCUAGAAGGCAAUAUUCUUUCUAGCGUGUUUAUUGCUACAUAUUGUAAAGUUCUGGUAGAUAUCAUUAAUACAAAAGGAACAAACGUUUCUUAGACAACAUAGAAUACCAUAGAAGAAACUACUGCUAUUUUGGGCAGAUUACCACAAGCAAAGGUAAAAUUUAUUAACAGAGAUCACAACGCAGCAGCAGACACAGUGGAAAAAGAAGCAAGAAUCAGAAGACUACAACACAUGACGAAACAUUUGCAACAUCAAUUGCAAAAAGAAAGUAUCAUUUUUAACAUUUUCGGACAAAAUGAAAUUGUAGACCUUCUGUAUUAUAUCACUUAGUGGGAAUUGAAUAAAUAGCCCUACUUUUGAUGGCCUUCAUAAAUACCCUUUUCCACAAUAAUUAUACCCCUCUCCCUGUGAAAAGAUAUCCUAAAUAACUGAUGAUUCCAAAUAUACCCUCCUUAUACAAUCGAUUUAGAUCUGGUCUUUUCCAUUGAAACUGUCAAUCGAAUACAGAACAGGGAGAAACCAAAUUUUUUAAGAGAAAUUUAUGGGUUCUGUUCGAAAUCAUAAAGAGAAUCAUAUUUUGUAGCAUCAGAAAUCAAGAUAUCUUCUUCUUCCUCUUGUUUUUCAUUUAAAUUUGAUGAUUCAUUCUCCAAAUCAGAUUCAGAGAGUUCUAGAUUCGGGAUCUCAUUUGUUUUCGAACUGGUAAUUCCAAAUUGAAGAUUCAAAAAGAUAUACAGAGAUCUGAAUUUGUGUUGAUUCUACUGGAUUUCGGGAUCUAUCGCCUGAAUUUUUGAUAUAAUUGUCCAUCUCUUAACCAGAUGAUAAACAUCAAGUGCCCUUUGCAUACUUAGCAAUCUUUUUAUUACUCGACAAGUUUAUUAAAGGAACACAGAUAUAUCUAGUUGCAUUUGGAGGUGCGAGUUGGUGCCGGUCCUUAACCAAUUUGAAGUUAACUGUUAGCGAUGAUCAUGCAUUGACCAUCAUACCAAAGAACUUGAUUGGCUCCUCGUGCACCAAUAUCUAGAAGGCGGUUGUAGAUGUUAAACUUCUUGUUUAGAAUGUUAUUUUGAAAUUUCAUAUGCUUAUGAAUUUGUGAUGUUUCUUUAAAAUUACUUUUUGCAUCUUUUUUAGGUUAAGUUUUUUUGAUGUUUACAUUCUUUAUCAUCUAAAAGUAUAGGCUCCAAAGUUU